CACGUCGCGUUGCAUUGCAAGCGGUCCUCCUGGAAGCAUCUGCUCCUUCGCUCGCAUCAAUCAAGGACGGGCCGACGACAUUGGAGAGGCUUCCCAAGCAGCACAUUGCUGGACGGUGGACGGUCUGUCCCUGCAACCCUCGUGCAUCGGGGUGAUUUCUUCGAGAUGGCGUCGUUGAUUUUCAAAUAAAUUAUUCCUCUGUG